rnacentral:rRNA from 1 species
GAUGAACGCUGGCGGCGUGCCUAAUACAUGCAAGUCGAGCGAACAGACGAGGAGCUUGCUCCUCUGACGUUAGCGGCGGACGGGUGAGUAACACGUGGAUAACCUACCUAUAAGACUGGGAUAACUUCGGGAAACCGGAGCUAAUACCGGAUAAUAUAUUGAACCGCAUGGUUCAAUAGUGAAAGACGGUUUUGCUGUCACUUAUAGAUGGAUCCGCGCUGCAUUAGCUAGUUGGUAAGGUAACGGCUUACCAAGGCGACGAUGCGUAGCCGACCUGAGAGGGGGGUCGGCCACACUGGAACUGAGACACGGUCCAGACUCCUAAGGGAGGCAGCAGUAGGGAAUCUUCCGCAAUGGGCGAAAGCCUGACGGAGCAACGCCGCGUGAGUGAUGAAGGUCUUCGGAUCGUAAAACUCUGUUAUUAGGGAAGAACAAAUGUGUAAGUAACUAUGCACGUCUUGACGGUACCUAAUCAGAAAGCCACGGCUAACUACGUG